rnacentral:piRNA from 1 species
AGGAUGGCCGAGCGGUCUAA